CCAAGUAUAAAAAGUUAACCGGCUGGUAAAAAGUUUUAAAAUUUUGCAAUUAGUUGUGAUUUACAAUUUACUAUGUGGAAAUAAUAACAAAGAGUGUUUCUGGAAAAGUACCCAUUAGGCUCCCACUACCUUAAUAUCUUAGUUAGAAGGUGAUUUUUCAAGCGGUUCCGUAGUGUAGUGGUUACACGCUCGCUUCACAUGUGAGAGGCCCAAGGUUCGAGCCCCAGUAGAAUCAAAUUAUUUUAUUUGUGUUCUAUGUUAACUUUUUGUUUUGAUGUAGACAUUUUAGUUUAAAUAAAUAUGCUGUUUUAUUGUAA